rnacentral:rRNA from 1 species
AUGGCGUCGUUGAAGAAUCGGGGGAGGCCGGACAAGGGCGGUUGGCGUUCGGUGCCCGCGGUGGCCAGAUGGGUGGCUCCGCCGCUCUCGUGCAACCCGUCCUCCACCGUGCUUACUUCCUCCACGACCACCUCGGGGCCUCCAUCAAUCACCUGCGCUUCCUCGCAGGAAGCUGAUUACAGGGAAUGGGGGCAUGUCGUGCAAGAAAUCACGAGGUUUCUAAAGGCUGACUCGCUUUUCAUGAACCUGAGACCUCUCAGGAGCUUUUGUUGUGCUGAGUGUACGAGACAAGCAGCGGCUCUGUGCAUAUGCGCUCGUCCGUGUUAUGUGCUCCCGUAG